GAGCAAGUCCAGGGAUCAAACCUGCACCCUCAUGGUUCCUAGUCUGAUUCAUUUCUGCUGUGCCAUGACAGGAACUCCUAAGCUGUUCUUAAUUUAUUUAUUCAUCACACAAUCUGUGGAAUAAAUCCAAUUAUCACCUCCACUUUACAGGUGAGAAAACACGCAUGGACAGUUUAAGCUACUUUGACCUGAGGUCACAGGAUUUGAAUCCAAACAGUGGUUCAGAAUCUGCCCUUUUAUCCAACGCAUUACUACCACUCAGCAGGCUCUGCCUUCCACCACUCUUUGUGUGGUAAUGAGCCCAGUUAGUAUCCAUGAGGAUGCAGCAUCAAUUCCUGACUUGCUCCAUUGGUUUAGGAUCCGUGAGCUGUGAUGUAGGUCACAGACACAGCUCGGAUCCUGUGUGGCUGUGGCUCCACUGGCCUACGCCAGAGCCACAGCAACGCAGGAUCCGAGCCGUGUCUGCAACCUACACCACAGCUCGCGGCAACGCCGGAUCCUUAACCCCCUGAGUAAGGGCAGGGACUGAACCCGUCAACCUCAUGGUUCCUAGUCGGAUUCGUUAACCUCUGCACCACGACGGGAACUCCAGCACCUGUUAGAGUUUAACAUGCAUUUUAUGAUGGAUACAUUCACAUUUCUUCAUACAUUGCCUCCUACCACGUAGAAAUUAGUCAUUCUGAAAUGUUCCUUCAAAACCCGGGGGGCUAAAUGGCCGGGUGUGGAAACAGUAAUUCAGGACAGCUCUUCCCCCAGCCUCGUGUCUGAGUGUGUGUCGGUAAUGCACGUUACAGAGGACAAGGCACACUUGUUUCCAUUUGCUGGGACUGAUUCCCUGAAUCUUCUCAUCCAGAUUUGUUUCCAUCUGUGCUUUUGUUUCACAGAAUAGAGUCCACCGUGGUUCUAAUCUCUGUUAUGCAUGUUCUUUAUGAAUAAAAUUCCAGGCACACGGAGCGAAUACGUGCACGUUUACUACAAGAUAGUAAAAUCUCAGUGUGCAGGGACCUCAUUCCCAGUGUGACUUGAUAAUCCCCACUCUUUGCAGUUUUAAAGUUUUAUGUUACCCUGGCGUUCUGGAUGAGGGUUUUUCUUCUUUCCUGUGAGUCAUAGUGUAUAUAACCGCCACAGGAUAGCUAAACUUGGAGAGGCUUUUUUGUGUGGCUUGUUGGUGUGGCUUUGACUAUCUGCCCUCCGGCUUUUUCUCAUCUGUAUUUCAUAACGAAAAACUAAGGAGGAUUUCACUUUGCUGAAAUCUGCCUACUAAAUGAUGCCUGCAAAGAACAAUCCAUCAAUUAGCUUUUGGGACUUUGACUAAACCAUUCUGCAAGUAAUUUUGCUCCAGCAUCUGUUAAAGAGUAUAUUUUGAAAGAAAAAAAUAUGUUUUGGCCUUGAGGACCUUUCUCUUCAGUUGAUCAAAAUCUAUGCAAAUUGUAAUGUGGCCUUUUUAUCACAGGUGAAGUCUUUUGAUCCUAGCACUUACUACCACAGGAUAAACAAAAUAACACGUGUCAUAAUUGCCAGUAAAAUAGCAAAGUCACACUGACAUUCUUUUUUUUAAGGGCUGCACCUGCAGCAUAGGGAGGUUCCUGGGCUAGGAGUCAAAUCAGAGCUACAGCUGAAGGUCUACACGACAGCCACACCAACUCGGAAUCAGAGCCACCUCUGUGAACUACACAACAGCUCAUGGCAAUGCCAGAUCCUUAACCCACUGAGUGAGGCCAGGGACCGAACCCACAACCUCAUGGUUCCUUGUCAGAUUUGUUUCCGUUGCGCCACAACAGGAACUCCCAGGCUGACAUUCUUAAAGUGUGUAACACAUUUAUUUGCUUUCUGGCUCUGAGUGGAUCCAUUGUCUCCUUUUUCCAUUCUGCUGUGGAAAACAUUUGCAUAGCUGUUUUGUUUUGUUUUUUUUUUAUUGGAAUACAUUUGACUUACAAUGUUGUGUUAAUUUCUGUUGUACGGCAAAGCAAUUCAGUUAUACAUAUAUAUAUACACACAUAUUCUUUUUUAUAUUCUUUUCCAUUAUGUUUUUAAAAUUUCAAUUUAUUUUUAUUUUUUAAUUUUUAGGGCCACGCCUGCCGCAUAUGGAAAUUUCAAGGCUAGGGGUCAACUUGGAGCUGCAGCUGUGGUCUAUACCACAGCCAUGGCAACACUGGAUUUGAGCCACAUCUUCUACCUAUGUCACAGCUAGCUGCAACACCAAGAUCCUUAACCCAUUGAAUGAGGUCAAGGAUUAAACCUGCAUCCUCACUGGACACUGUAUGGUGCUUAACCUGCUGAGCCACAAUGGGAACCCCUCCAUUUCGGCUUAUCGUAGGAUAUUUAUAUCAAUAGUUCCCUGUAGGAGUUCCCAUUGUGGUGCAGUGGAAAUGAAUCUGACUAGUAUCUGUGAAGAUAUGGGUUUGAUCCCUGGCCUGGCUCAGUGGCUUGAGUUUCCAGGGUUGCUGGGAGCCGUGGUUGGUAUAGGAUGCAGAUGUGUCUCGGAUCCUGAGUGGCUGGGGCUGGGGCUGGGGCUGACGGUUAUAGCUCUGAUUUGACCCCUAGCCUGGGAACUUCCAUAUGCUGUGGGUAUGGGGGCCAAAAAAAAAAAAAAAAAAAAAAAAAAAAAAAAAAA
rnacentral:lncRNA from 1 species